GAUGAACGCUGGCGGCGUGCCUAAUACAUGCAAGUCGAGCGAACAGACGAGGAGCUUGCUCCUCUGACGUUAGCGGCGGACGGGUGAGUAACACGUGGAUAACCUACCUAUAAGACUGGGAUAACUUCGGGAAACCGGAGCUAAUACCGGAUAAUAUAUUGAACCGCAUGGUUCAAUAGUGAAAGACGGUUUUGCUGUCACUUAUAGAUGGAUUCGUGCCGAAUUAGCUAGUUGGUAAGGUAACGGCUUACCAAGGCAACGAUGCGUAGCCGACCUGAGAGGUUGAUCGGCCACCCGGAACUGAGACACGGUCCAGACUCCUACGGGAGGCAGCAGUAGGGAAUCUUCCACAAUGGGCGAAAGCCUGACGGAGCAACGCCGCGUGAGUGAUGAAGGUCUUCGGAUCGUAAAACUCUUUUAUUAGGAAAGAACAAAUUUGUAAUUAACUAUGCACGUCUUGACGGUACCUAAUCAGAAAGCCACGGCUAACUACGUG
rnacentral:rRNA from 1 species